rnacentral:rRNA from 1 species
AUUGAACGCUGGCGGCAGGCCUAACACAUGCAAGUCGAGCGAGCGGCGGACGGGGGAGUAUAGUAUAGGGACUGCCCGAUAGAGGGGGGUAACAACUGUAAACGGUAGCUAAUACAGCAUACUAUCGGAUAACACCUAUGGGAUUAGCUAGGAGGUGGGGUAAUGGCUCACCUAGGCGACAGUCCCUAGCUGGUCUGAGAGGAUGAUCAGCCACACUGGGACUGAGACACGGCCCAGACUCCUACGGAGGCAGCAGUGGGGAAUAUUGCACAAUGGGCGCAAGCCUGAUGCAGCCAUGCCGCGUGUAUGAAGAAGGCCCUAGGGUUGUAAAGUACUUUCAGUCGGGAGGCGUUACCGACAGAAGAAGCACCGGCUAACUCCGUGCCAGCAGCCGCGGUAAUAC